GGGCGGGGGGUGUAGGUGACGUCAGGACUGCAGUCCCGAGGAGAGCGGCUGGAGAGGACUGCGCGCUCUUAGCCAAGGAAGCUGGAGGCGCACUCAGGCAGCCGCGGCUCCCGCGCUCCUCCCUCUCCUCUGCACCCGCUGUCACGCUGCUCACCCUCAGAACCGCGCCAGCUACCAGGUGAAUUGAAAGUCGUUUCCGGGGGAGGACGGAGAGGGUGCUGCAGUCCUGGCAUGCACUAAAACUGCAAGUCGGACAGAAACAACCCAGCAGAGGAGCUGAGCGCGCGGCGCUGAGCGCAGCAUCCCGGGGCGAAGGCUGCCACUGUUCAGCCGGCAGCCAAGCGCGGCGGCCAGACCUCCGCCCCGCACUCCGGCCCGGGGCUCGCUCGCUGGAGAGAGACUCCUUUCCCUUCUUGCGCAUUUCGCAGCUGCGCUGGUGUGGGGAAUGCGAGCGUGGUGGCUCCUUGUCGCCACGGAGCAGCUGCCGGUGCUAGAGCGAGCAGAGGCGAGGGGGCGGCAGCCUCGGCCCGAAAACUAUUCCCUUGGACCCUCAGUUUAAUGACUUCUAUCCACAAGCACAACUCUUAUCUGCAGCAAGAAAUAUUGAAUAUGGGAUGGAGAUACUGGGGUCCUAAGUCUGUAGCUGAUUACACAGCAUCCCAGAUACAAAAGUGGAGCCACCGGCCCGAGCCCGUGGAUAUCUUCCCCAUAGGACUGUACUACUCAUCUGUGGAGUCCUCCUCCUCCUCCUUAUUUUCUUUUUAGGUAAGUUCUGUUCUUUUUAUUAAAUCAUAAAAAUGAGCAUUGAUC
rnacentral:lncRNA from 1 species